rnacentral:rRNA from 1 species
AGGACGAACGCUGGCGGCGUGCUUAACACAUGCAAGUCGAACGGUAAGGCCCUUCGGGGUACACGAGUGGCGAACGGGUGAGUAACACGUGGGUGACCUGCCUCGAGCUCUGGGAUAAGCCUGGGAAACUGGGUCUAAUACCGGAUAUGACCUCAUGUCGCAUGGUGUGGGGUGGAAAGUUUUUCGGCU